ACAAGCAGCGGAGCGUGUGGUUUAAUUCGAUGCUACACGAAGAACCUUACCAAGGUUUGACAUGCAAGUGGUAGGAAACUGAAAGGACGACCUUCGGGAGCUUGCACAGGUGCUGCAUGGCUGUCGUCAGCUCGUGUCGUGAGAUGUUCGGUUAAGUCCGCUAACGAGCGCAACCCUCGCUGUGUGUUAUAUGUGUCACACGGGACUGCCGGUUUUAAGCCCGGAGGAAGGUGAGGAUGACGUCAAGUCAGCAUGGCCUUUAUAUCUUGGGCUACACACACGCUACAAUGGGCGGAACAAUAGGUUGCCAAACCGCGAGGUGGAGCCAAUCCUUAAAUCCGUCCUCAGUUCAGAUUGCAGGCUGCAACCCGCCUGCAUGAAGAUGGAGUUGCUAGUAAACGCAGGUCAGCUAUACUGCGUUGAAUACGUUCCCGGGCCUU
rnacentral:rRNA from 1 species